GAUGAACGCUGGCGGCGUGCCUAAUACAUGCAAGUCGAGCGAACGGACGAGAAGCUUGCUUCUCUGAUGUUAGCGGCGGACGGGUGAGUAACACGUGGAUAACCUACCUAUAAGACUGGGCUAACUUCGGGAAACCGUAGCUAAUACCGGAUAAUAUUUUGAACCGCAUGGUUCCAAAGUGAAAGACGGUCUUGCUGUCACUUAUAGAUGGAUCCGCGCUGCAUUAGCUAGUUGGUAAGGUAACGGCUUACCAAGGCAACGAUGCAUAGCCGACCUGAGAGGGUGAUCGGCCACACUGGAACUGAGACACGGUCCAGACUCCUACGGGAGGCAGCAGUAGGGAAUCUUCCGCAAUGGGCGAAAGCCUGACGGAGCAACGCCGCGUGAGUGAUGAAGGUCUUCGGAUCGUAAAACUCUGUUAUUAGGGAAGAACAUAUGUGUAAGUAACUGUGCACAUCUUGACGGUACCUAAUCAGAAAGCCACGGCUAACUACGUG
rnacentral:rRNA from 1 species